UACAGAGGGUGCGAGCGUUAAUCGGAAUUACUGGGCGUAAAGCGUGCGUAGACGGCUAUCUAAGUCGGGUGUGAAAGCCCCGGGCUCAACCUGGGAAUUGCAUUCGAGACUGAAUAGCUAGGGUACGGUAGAGGGAAGUGGAAUUUCCGGUGUAGCGGUGAAAUGCGUAGAUAUCGGAAGGAACAUCAGUGGCGAAGGCGGCUACCUGGACCAGCACUGACACUGAGGCACGAAAGCGUGGGGAGCAAACAGG
rnacentral:rRNA from 1 species